rnacentral:rRNA from 1 species
UACAGAGGGUGCAAGCGUUAAUCGGAAUUACUGGGCGUAAAGGGCGCGUAGGUGGGAUGAUAAGUCGGAUGUGAAAGGCCUGGGCUUAACCUAGGAACUGCAUCUGAUACUGUGAUUCUAGAGUGAAACAGAGGGUGGUGGAAUUUCCGGUGUAGCGGUGAAAUGCGUAGAUAUCGGAAGGAACACCGGUGGCGAAGGCGACCACCUGGGUUUUUACUGACACUGAGGCGCGAAAGCGUGGGGAGCGAACAGG